GAUGAACGCUCGCGGCAGGCCUAAUACAUGCAAGUCGAACGAGAUUAAGAGGCUUGCUUCUUAUGAAAGUGGCGCACGGGUGCGUAACGCGUAUGCAACCUACCUUAAUCAGGGGGAUAGCCCGAAGAAAUUCGGAUUAAGACCGCAUAAAAACACAGGAUAGCAUUAUCCAGUGUUCAAAUAUUUAUCGGAUUAAGAUGGGCAUGCGUGUCAUUAGCUAGUUGGCGGGGUAACGGCCCACCAAGGCGACGAUGACUAGGGGAUCUGAGAGGAUGACCCCCCACACUGGUACUGGGACACGGACCAGACUCCUACGGGAGGCAGCAGUAAGGAAUAUUGGUCAAUGGAGGGAACUCUGAACCAGCCAUGCCGCGUGCAGGAAGACAGCCCUCUGGGUAGUAAACUGCUUUUAUUCGGGAAUAAACCUUUCUACGUGUAGGAAGCUGAAUGUACCGAAGGAAUAAGGAUCGGCUAACUCCGUG
rnacentral:rRNA from 1 species